rnacentral:misc_RNA from 1 species
AGUGGUGCAGCACGUCACAGCUUUUCACAGCAGCCGCUCGGCCUACAGCACCAACCAUUUAUAUAACAGCCAAGCGGCCGAGCGAACCCUUGUCGCCACUUUUCCAGCUGCGACGAAGUCGCGGAAAGAAGUUGAAAACGUUCCAGUCAUGGACAGCAAGAACUGCGUGGUCGUAAGUGUUCGGUUCCGUCACUACACUCCGCUGCCGCAGAAGAAACUAAUACCAGACAACUUUUGUGGCUACAGCACGGAACUAUUCUGUAUUCCCAAGCACUACAAGGAUGACGUCGAGUGUGUCUUCCUCCCGUGCGGACUUGUUCAAGACAGGAUAGAACGAAUGGCCCAAGACAUUGUCUUGCACUACCAGGAAAAACCAUUCCGGGCACUCUGUGUCCUCAAAGGAGGCUACCGUUUCUUUGCGGAUAUGCUCGACAGAGUGCGGCACUACUACCACUUCAACCAGUACUCGACACCGUUCUCCACUGACUUCAUCAGAGUCAAGAGCUACAUUAAUGACAAGUCGAGAGGUGAAGUAACUGUCAUGGGGCUGGACAGCAUGGAAGCACUCAAGGGACAGAAUAUCCUGAUUGUUGAAGACAUCAUUGAGACUGGGAAAACAAUGGCUGCUCUUGUGGAGUACCUUAAGGCUUUUGAACCUAAAGAGGUCAAGGUAUCCAGACUGCGGCUUCGAAAUACCUGACAAGUUCGUUGUUGGCUAUGCCUUGGACUACAAUGACCAUUUUCGUGACCUAAGCCAUGUCUGCAUCAUCAGCAGCCAAGGCAAAAAGAAGUAUGCAACAGCACGAUUCUAAGCCCCCCUGAUGUCUUUGUCGACCUGUUACCUCCAUCAGAAGCAUAUUAUCUGCAGUAGUUGCAUACAGACGCAAUAUUGGCCGAGCAGUCACAGUUGCGUUUCACGGAAGACUGUGUUCAGUAGACUGGUGUGCUAGUAGCACCUACCUUACUUGUGUGCUUUGUUCACUUGCACUUACGUACUUCUGCUACUUAACAGUACGCAUUCCAUGACAGACACACAGUGAGACAUGUAUGCUGUGGUAACGUGAGGUGCAAUGUUUUGCUCUCUCAGAAAAUUGCAUUUCGUUAAAGAACCGGUGAUGUUGCAUGACUGCCAAUGCAGUGCUUAUGUAACUAUUGUUAGCGUCAAUUGUUUCAUGGUGAAAACUGCCCAGUGAUGUCUGUACUUCAUGUGCCAGAGGUUAUUUUCGUAAAAUAAAUACGUUUUUU